UCAGGUUGGAUAUUAGGAACAAUUUCUUCUCUCGAAGAGUGGUAGUGCAUUGAUACAGGCUGCCCAGGGAGGUGGUGCAGUCACUGUCCCCAGAGGUAUUCAAGAACCAUGGAGUGUGGCACUGAAGGAUGUGGUCAUUGGGCACAGUGGGAUGGGUUGGGGUUGGACUGGAUGAUCUCAGUGGUCUUACCAGCUUUAAUGAUUCUAUGCUUAAUUACGGUGGGUUUCUUUAGAUGUCCCCCUGCGACCUGAUGCCCUCCAUCUGCAUUUCUACAAAACCACUCCCACACCACCCUGCUGGCAGCAGCACUGGGGAUCUUAGAGAAAACUUGAGUACCCCUGAGCCCGUGCUCUCAGUGUGUUUCCGAAAAUGAGAUGUGCUAUAGCAGUGCAGAAGAUGUGUCUCUGGGGUGAAGCACAUUUCCCAUUGAUUCUCUCACCCCAAAAGUCGCUGGCUCCUCCAGCUCCAGCCCAAUCAGACAAGUGCCUGUUUGGAUAGAGCGUGGCUGUCUGCCAUUGCUAAAGAGUUAACAGAGCUCCUUGGCUGCGAUCUCAGCAUGAUGUGACUCUUUAUCUGUACUGCAGGCCUGUGUUUAAACAUCAUCAUGAUCCCAGUAAUAUGUUUCCAGCUGCUCGCCACCCUGGAUAGACAGUUAUUAAAAAUAAACUCGCAUAAACACAACAUUUCUUUUGCACAGCUCAUGCAUUUUGACCUCCUGCUCAUGCUAAGAGGUCACCGAUCUCUGUCACGUCGUCAUUCCUUCCUAUGGGAAUGGCCAUCGGCUGAAGGUCAUGUCCUGCACUGUGGAUGAGUGAAGAGGAGGGAGAUAACGCAAAGUAGACUCAAAAAGAUGUUUUGGGUACCUGAAAAUUUUCUGUAUUGCUUAGAGAGAAACGUUACUGAAGAUUGAUCUUCAGUUUAAUGAUGGCUUUCAACAGUUGGGCUGCUGCCUCUGAAUAUGACUGAAAGUUCACUGGGUGCAUAGGGAGUGGAGGAAGAUUAAUUAAAGUGAUCUGAAUGGUUAGUCUUUCUAUUGGAAGUGAUCAUCUAUGGAGCAGUGUAGAAAUAUAUCAUUAAUCUGGAAAGGUCAGUUAUGAAGAAGUAUUGAUUUCAGAGGUUUGGUUUGAUUGCAUCGCUGUAAAGUGUGACAUUAAAAACCUGGCUGUUU
rnacentral:lncRNA from 1 species